rnacentral:rRNA from 1 species
GAAUCUUGGACAAUGGGCGCAAGCCUGAUCCAGCCAUGCCGCGUGAGUGAAGAAGGCCUUCGGGUUGUAAACCUCUUUCGCCGGUGAAGAUAAUGACGGUAGCCGGAGAAGAAGCCCCGGCUAACUCCGUGCCAGCAGCCGCGGUAAGACGGAGGGGGCGAGCGUUGUUCGGAAUUACUGGGCGUAAAGCGCACGUAGGCGGCGCGGCAAGUUGGGCGUGAAAGCCCGGGGCUCAACCCCGGAUGUGCGCCUGAGACUGCCGUGCUGGAGGCCGAGAGAGGGUGGCGGAAUUCCCAGUGUAGAGGUGAAAUUCGUAGAUAUUGGGAAGAACACCGGUGGCGAAGGCGGCCACCUGGCUCGGAACUGACGCUGAGGUGCGAAAGCGUGGGGAGCAAACAGG